UAUUAAUACAGGAAAUUUAAGUUUCUUGCCGACCAAAUAAUUUUUUACCCAGAAGGCUUACCGAUGGCAAAGGAUUGUGCUCGGAUAUUGGCGAAAACUUUCAAAUGUAAAAAUCCCAAUGGUUGAAAAGACGCAGUGUGAAAUAUUUGUCUGCGAUAUGCUUUGUCAGUUGAGUGCUGUGAUCGUCUUCGAUAACAGCCUCGUUAACACCAUCUUCGUGAUCUCUGAAUAGAGGAAAGGUCGAUUCCAGAUUAAAAUGUUGGCAAACUGCAAUAAUCAUACUGUUCUUCAACUUUGCCCUGUUACUAAUAUGCUGAUUGUCGUUGCCUGUCACCGUUGCUUUGAAAACGUGUUCGCAGAACUCUAUACAACGAUACACCGCUGUGGAUGGAAUCUGUAAACCACCGUUGUUCACGAAGUUGACGAAAGCUGACGCUUUUCCAGCUUCAUGAUAUUUUGUGGCAGUAUAAUCAUGGUCAUCUACGGAUAACGAUUUUGGUAAAGGACAAAGGCAUCGUUUGCAUUCUGGGCAAGAUAAAUUGUUGACUAACUUCGAAACUAUGUAUCCUGCAAUAUAAAAUAUAACGUUCGAAAUAAAUUUGCUGUUGCCUUCUUGGAGAUGUUGCACCAUUGCAUUAAUUUUAUUGUCAGUGUCUUGGGCAGCAGUUUCUUGUGACUGAUUAUGUAA